CACCGAAUUAGCGUACUUACGGUCCGGAUUGUUGGUCAACAUCCGCACCUUUCUGCACCAGCACAGGGAUGACGUCAUGGUGCCCGUUCAGAACAGCAGCAGCCAGAGCUGUACGCCCAUCGCCGUCUAGACAUGAUGGAUCGGCACCCUAAAAAAACAGCAGAACGUUAUCCAGACUUUUCUGAGGUUGAACGUUAUACCUGGCCGGACUCCUCGGCGCCAUCCUGUGGAUAGAGCUGUGCGGUAGAGCCUGGCACUCGGGGAGGACCUUCCAGAAACACGCCGCAGGUUCCACAGUAGUUGGCGUACGGGUGACUGCUCGCUCCACAUUGUGAACAGUUCAGAGGGCACACCUUCCACCAUGAAGACCUUGGUGACGACAGCGCUUUGCCGACCGUCGCUGGAGCAAAGAGAAAAGUUUAAGAAUGAAUUCUCAGAUGAUUAAACAUUUUGAACGUCUA